GCCCCGCUUCGGAGACCUCUGAUAAAAUUGGAGCGAUACUGAGAAGAUUAGCAUGACCCUUGCGCAAGGAUGACAUUGACACGCAUAAAUCGAGAAACGAAUAA